UACGUAGGGUGCGAGCGUUGUCCGGAAUUACUGGGCGUAAAGAGCUCGUAGGUGGUUUGUCGCGUUGUUCGUGAAAACUCACAACUCAAUUGUGGGCGUGCGGGCGAUACGGGCAGACUUGAGUACUGCAGGGGAGACUGGAAUUCCUGGUGUAGCGGUGGAAUGCGCAGAUAUCAGGAGGAACACCGGUGGCGAAGGCGGGUCUCUGGGCAGUAACUGACGCUGAGGAGCGAAAGCAUGGGGAGCGAACAGG
rnacentral:rRNA from 1 species